rnacentral:snRNA from 1 species
AAAAUCGGACGUCUUCGGCGUUCGAAUUG